rnacentral:rRNA from 1 species
UACAGAGGGUGCAAGCGUUGUUCGGAAUUAUUGGGCGUAAAGCGCGUGUAGGCGGCUUUGCAAGUCGGGUGUGAAAGCCCUCAGCUUAACUGAGGAAGUGCGCCCGAAACUGCAAGGCUUGAGUACCGGAGAGGAUGGCGGAAUUCCCCAAGUAGAGGUGAAAUUCGUAGAUAUGGGGAGGAACACCGGUGGCGAAGGCGGCCAUCUGGACGGAUACUGACGCUGAGACGCGAAAGCGUGGGUAGCAAACAGG